GCGGCCGUGACCCUGCUGGAGUGCGGGGGGGACCUCCAGCCCCCCGGGGGGUCCCUGACUCUGCUCUGCCGCGGGAAUGGAUUCACUUUUGGGAGUUUCAACAUGAUAUGGGCCCGCCAGAGCCCCGGGAAGGCGCUGGAAUUUGUCACAGAGAUCAGCUACGGUGGUGGUAGCACCUGGUACGCGCCGUCGGUCAAGGGCCGGUUCUCGAUCUCCAGGGACAACGGGCAGAGCUCGGUGACGCUGACCAUGAACAACCUCAAGGACGAGGAUUCCGCCGUUUAUUUCUGUGUCAAGGCUGCUGGUGGUUAUGGUGAUUGGGCUGGUGCUUAUGGUGAUGGUUUUGGCCCCAUCCCUACCUUUUCCUCACACCCCAAACCUUGA